rnacentral:tRNA from 1 species
GCAGUAGUGGUUCAGUGGUAGAAUUCUUGGCUUCCAUGCCAGAGACUUGGGUUCCAUUCUCAACCAGUGCA